GAAAUUGCUUAUUCCUUUGAUUUCUCCUGCAUCGACCCAACAAUCUAUUCAGCUUCUAUAUGAAACUUGUCUUUGUGUUUGGCUCUUAUCAUAUUAUGAGCCGGCAAUUGAAUUCUUGGCCACUUCUAGGACCCUUCCAAGACUCAUCGAUGUUGUCAAGAGUUCCACAAAAGAGAAGGUUGUCCGAGUUAUUAUUUUGACCUUGAGGAACUUACUCUACAAGGGGACAUUUGGAGCUCAAAUGGUGGGUCUUGGACUACCACAAGUUGUUCAAAGUUUGAAAUCACAAGCCUGGAGUGAUGAGGACCUUUUG
rnacentral:misc_RNA from 1 species